rnacentral:lncRNA from 1 species
GGGGAUAUAGAUAGCUAAGGCCACACAAUUGGCAAAAAUAGUCAGUAAAAUAAUUAUUUCAAAUGAUUUCCAUUCGACGAUGCUGAUGCAUGCCCUCCGGAUGGGAUUUUUCAGUGUUAAACACAGCAGUGCCCGGGGAGGACGCGUAGCUGUCGUGGUACCCUGUUUUUUCUGUUUCCCGUACUGCUGCCGUUUUCUCUGCGUGGAGCUAGCUGUGGAUAUUG